CUCUCUGAAGCUCUGGAUCCUUUUCAUUUUAGAGGGGGAAGGGACUAAGUAAACACGAGAAAGCUAGUGACUGGCUCAAGUCUGUCUCCAGGUGGAAAAAUAUUGCUUGUUCUUGGCCCUUAAAUGACUCCCAUCUGCUCCACCACACUAGAAUCAUGGAGCCUGAGAACACAGGAGCUUCAUGUUGGCUGGGAAGAGGUAGAGUCAGGAGCGAGUGCACAGAAGCGGGAAGGACUGAUGAGAGACAGAGCCAGGAAAGCACCAGGUGCCGAGGCUGGAGUGGUGAUGCCAGGACAGAAGGCAGACUUGUGGGACUAGACAACCCCUCUGAGCCAUCUGAAACGGUUUCCUUACAGCACCCUAAAACACAGCCCUGGACACAGCAAGCCCUGACGAGACGCACAGCUGCGAUCUGAAAGCAAUGGUUUCAAAGUGCUUUGGAUCGCAGAGCCAAUCCGGAUGUCUUUGCUGAGGUGAAGGCUCCCUCUGUUGGAGAUGUUGUAACAUCGCCCCCAAGUCCAGAUACCACAGAAGAAUAUUUUCUCCGACAGUCUAGAGAAUAAGCUUUAGACAACCAAGAUGACAGAAGAGACACCAGUAUCUCUCACUGGUGAUGGUGGUUAAACUGAUUGUAUUUACAGUGAAGAAUAAAGGGUGAUUCUAACGGAA